rnacentral:rRNA from 1 species
AGCGAACGCUGGCGGCAGGCUUAACACAUGCAAGUCGAACGGGCGUAGCAAUACGUCAGUGGCAGACGGGUGAGUAACGCGUGGGAACGUACCUUUUGGUUCGGAACAACCCAGGGAAACUUGGGCUAAUACCGGAUAAGCCCUUACGGGGAAGGAUUUAUCGCCGAAAGAUCGGCCCGCGUCUGAUUAGCUAGUUGGUGUGGUAACGGCGCACCAAGGCGACGAUCAGUAGCUGGUCUGAGAGGAUGAUCAGCCACAUUGGGACUGAGACACGGCCCAAACUCCUACGGGAGGCAGCAGUGGGGAAUAUUGGACAAUGGGCGCAAGCCUGAUCCAGCCAUGCCGCGUGAGUGAUGAAGGCCCUAGGGUUGUAAAGCUCUUUUGUGCGGGAAGAUAAUGACGGUACCGCAAGAAUAAG